CUAAAAUUUGACAUCCAGUUUCUCGUGUCCAAAACAGAGUCUCCCAAUUUUCCAGUUUCUUGGUCUUCAUUCACAAAUCACAAUCGCUGGCGUUCCCCCGUAGUUCGUGUAUCGCCGCCCUCCUUGGUCUCGUCGUCGCCGGAUCAGUCGAGAAGAAACAGAAGCAACCAGCAAUCGCCGCCUCUGGUUCGGACAUCGUCGUCUUCUUGCUUCGUCGCCUCCUUCUCGCCGGUUCCGUCGCCAAGCCGCUGUGUUGAUUUAGGUGUGGCUGUGCUGAAGCUCCGAACUCUGAAGCUGCUCCACCUCUGAAUCGACUUCUACUUCUGCUUCUGUAGGUGAUUUUUUUUUUUUCAGUUAUUCUUUAAUAUCUAUUAAUGUUUUAUGCUUAGUAUUUUCAGUUUUAAUGUAGUUUUGGAUAAAUUGAUGCUAAUUGGUUUAGAUAAAUUGAUGAUUAGUUAUAGUGAUUAGAUAAUAUGUUAUGAAGAUGAAUAACUCUCAUGGUAGUUUUGAUGGAAAGGAUUGUUCUGAUAUUGUUCUGCAAAGCUGUUCAAGGGGAAAUUAUUCAGGUGUGUUGCUUACUUUGGCAGCAGCUAUGCGCAUUGUUUUGAGCUUAUCAAUAGUGAUAAGUAGGAAGAUGAUUGGGUCAAGAUUGGCAAUAUCUAGAUUUAUUAGAUAAUGAAAUGAGGAAAACUUUGUGAUGUUUAUUUAUCUAUCAAGUAAGUAAGUUGUGUGUGAAUGUAUGUGGAUAUCAUAAGAGAAGAAACAUUGAAUUUCUAAGUUUGGAAGUGACCACUACAAACUUGCGGAUCAUAAUUCUAUGGAAGAGAAGCGUAUUAAGGAGUGUUUGUUUUGUUCCGUACCAUGCUGAAUCAAUUGUGGAAGGCGAGAAACUCCAUGGUGUUUGAGGAUUGGGAAAAGCUAGAUCACUCUUUGAGGAAUUUUAGCAAACCCAGAUCAGAGAGGAAACGAGGACAAGAGGGAAUGAGCAGCAGCGUCCAUCAAUGCAAAAUUGGGAGUGCCCACCAGACUCUGUCCUGACUCCUGAAAGUUAAUAUUGACGCUGCAAUCUUCAGAAAUUUUAAUGGUGGUGUGGGAGUGGUAGUUAGAGACAAUUGGGGCCAAAUAAUGGCAGCAGCUUCAUGGGUCAUACCGUACCCACUUGAACCCCGAGAGGCAGAGGCUUAUGCAGUCUUUGUUGGUAUAAAAUUAGCAAUGGAGUGUUGUUUUACUAAUAUUACAUUAGAGAGUGACAAUAUAGAGGUUGUGAAUGCUCUCAAAAAAAAGAGGUAAUUUGGACUCUUGUUUUGGAAUUUUCAUUGUUAAUGCUCUAGAUCUAGUAAGUAAUUUUAGAUCAGUUAGUUUCAAUCAUGUAAAGAGAGGUGGAAACAAAAUUGCUCAUGAAUUAGCACAAUUAGCACCUGCCAAUCCAAAUUCUUUGUGGAUGGAGGAUGCUCCUAUUCAUGUACUCAAUUUGGCGUUGCUGGACCUUUUGGUUCCCGUUGAAUGAAUUUCCUCCCUUUCCAGUAAAAAAAAAAGUCUCUUUGCUUGUUU